GGAAGAAGGAAUCAGGAGGCAGAGCACAUGGUUAAAGCAUGAGAUGUGAAACCAGGAAGAACCAGGUCUGAACCUUAGCUCCACCAGUGGUAGCUUCAAACCUUGGUCCUUUCUGAGCCUGCUUCUUCAACCGUAAGGGAACGCUACACUUCCUUAGAAAUUAAGAGUGUGUGCUACACUGCUUUACCAGAGCAAGGCCAAAAGCAGCUUCAAUUAUGGUACAACUGUGUGAAGACACAAUGCAAAACCACUCAAGAAUGCUCACUCAAAUGGAUUUUUACCAUGAUAAGCGACCAGAAAACAGUCCUCUCUGAAUCAGACAAACUUCAAGAGCUACAAGGGUUAUUAACACAUGAAGUAAAGAGUCAAACAGUAAUCUGCAGGAACUCGGAAACGGGACCCAGAAAGUUGUUUUCUCAAGUGGAUGGAACAACACAAGCAAUCAGUAUCCUGAAACAGGCCCUGUUCCAACAAACUGACCCAGAAAGCAAGUAUGAGGACUCCUGUUUCCCUACGUACUCACUACUACAGCAAAGAUAUCAAACAUUGAUACCCACCAAUCUCUGGAUGGAAAAACAAAUCUCAGGAAUCGCUUGCAGGAGGCUCUGCACGUUCCUCAGAUUCAGAGUCGCUGUCCUUUUGCCUGUGAAGCUCCUCACUUUCAGAGUCACUAGCAUUAAGAUUUAAGGGCUCAUCGUUCUCAGAGUCUGUCACAUGAUGUCCUUUGGGGAGGCCAUCUUCUCGAUCAC
rnacentral:lncRNA from 1 species